rnacentral:rRNA from 1 species
AACGAACGCUGGCGGCAGGCCUAACACAUGCAAGUCGAGCGAGGACUUCGGUCCUAGCUGCGGACGGGUGAGUAACGCGUGGGAACUUGCCCUUUGCUUCGGAAUAGCCCUGUUAAACUUGGAUUAAUACCGGAGGAGCUCUUUGGGGGUAGGAUCUAUCGGCGUAGGAUCGGCCCUCGUUGGAUUAGGUGGUUGGUGGGGUAAUGGCAUACCAAGCCGUGGUUCCAUAGCUGGUUGGAGAGGAUGCUCAGCCAGGCUGGGACUGAGACACGGCCCAGAAUCGUACGGGACGGAGCAGUGGGGAAUCUUAGACGAUGGGGGAAAACGUGAUAGAGCCAUGUCGGGUGAGAGAUGAAGGGCUUAGGAUUGUAAAGCUCUUUCAGAUGGGAAGAUAAUGACGGUACCAGCAGAAGAAGCCCCGGCUAACUACGUG